CUACGGGAGGCACCAGUUAGGAAUAUUCUACAAUGCGCGCAAGCGUGAUAGAUUGAGCCAGAGUGCGUUUCAUUAGAAACGCUUUUGUGAAAUGUAAAAAGUUUCACGAAUAAGGACUGGGUAAGACUAGUGCCAGCCGCCGCGGUAAUACUAGCGGUCCAAGUCGCAGCCAUUUUUAUUGGGUCUAAAACAUCCGUAGCUUGUCUGGUAAGUUUCUUGUGAAAUUUUAUAUCUUAAGUAUAGAGCGUGCAAGAAAUACUGCCAGGCUAGAGACUGGGAGACGUGAGAAGUACGUUCGAAGUAGUGGUAGAAUAUUUUAAUCUCGAACGGACUCACAAUAGCGAAGGCAUCUCACGAGAACAGUUCUGACAGUAAGGGAUGAAGGCUAGGGGCGCAAAACGGAUUAGAUACCCUAGUAGUC
rnacentral:rRNA from 1 species